GACGAACCGAGCGAACGUUGUUCGGAAUCACUGGGCUUAAAGCGCGUGUAGGCGGGAGGGCACGUCCGUUGCUGAAAUCCCCCGGCUCAACCGGGGAACGGGCGCGGAUACGACUCUCCUUGAGGGGCGUAGGGGGACCUGGAACUUCCGGUGGAGCGGUGAAAUGCGUUGAGAUCGGAAGGAACGCCCGUGGCGAAAGCGAGGUCCUGGACGCCUACUGACGCUGAGACGCGAAAGCCAGGGGAGCGAACGGG
rnacentral:rRNA from 1 species